AGAGUUUGAUCAUGGCUCAGGAUGAACGCUAGCUACAGGCUUAACACAUGCAAGUCGAGGGGCAGCGGGAUCUAGCUUGCUAGAUUUGCCGGCGACCGGCGCACGGGUGAGUAACGCGUAUCCAACCUUCCCCUUAGUAGGGCAUAGCCCGUAGAAAUGCGGAUUAAUACCCUAUGUUGUUCAAUGCGGACAUCUAAUUUGAACCAAAGGUUUACCGCUAAGGGAUGGGGAUGCGUCCGAUUAGGCAGCAGGCGGGGUAACGGCCCACCUGGCCGACGAUCGGUAGGGGUUCUGAGAGGAAGGUCCCCCCACAUUGGAACUGAGACACGGUCCAAACUCCUACGGGAGGCAGCAGUGAGGAAUAUUGGUCAAUGGGCGCGAGCCUGAACCAGCCAAGUAGCGUGCAGGACGACGGCCCUAUGGGUUGUAAACUGCUUUUUAUGCGGGGAUAAAGUGCGGCACGUGUGCCGUUUUGUAGGUACCGCAUGAAUAAGGACCGGCUAAUUCCGUGCCAGCAGCGGC
rnacentral:rRNA from 1 species